GACGAACGCUGGCGGCGUGCUUAACACAUGCAAGUCGAACGGAAAGGCCCUGCUUUUGUGGGGUGCUCGAGUGGCGAACGGGUGAGUAACACGUGAGUAACCUGCCCUUGACUUUGGGAUAACUUCAGGAAACUGGGGCUAAUACCGGAUAGGAGCUCCUGCUGCAUGGUGGGGGUUGGAAAGUUUCGGCGGUUGGGGAUGGACUCGCGGCUUAUCAGCUUGUUGGUGGGGUAGUGGCUUACCAAGGCUUUGACGGGUAGCCGGCCUGAGAGGGUGACCGGCCACAUUGGGAAUGAGAUACGGCCCAGACUCCUACGGGAGGCAGCAGUGGGGAAUAUUGCACAAUGGGCGGAGGCCUGAUGCAGCAACGCCGCGUGCGGGAUGACGGCCUUCGGGUUGUAAACCGCUUUCGCCUGUGACGAAGCGUGAGUGACGGUAAUGGGUAAAGAAGCACCGGCUAACUACGU
rnacentral:rRNA from 1 species